UACGAAGGGGGCUAGCGUUGCUCGGAAUUACUGGGCGUAAAGGGCGCGUAGGCGGACGAUUUAAGUCGGGGGUGAAAGCCCAGGGCUCAACCCUGGAAUAGCCUUCGAAUACUGGAUGUCUUGAGUUCGGGAGAGGUGAGUGGAAUGCCGAGUGUAGAGGUGAAAUUCGUAGAUAUUCGGCGGAACACCAGUGGCGAAGGCGACUCACUGGCCCGAUACUGACG
rnacentral:rRNA from 1 species